UGCAUCUUGGAACUUAACUAAUUUUGCUCUUUUAUUCACAGCCUCAACAAUUUGAUCCUGUUUAUAACUGUAGUCAAUAUAUCUGCCUUAACAUGGAGUGGACCUUUUACAACUGGUCUCUGAAUUGCCCGACGGACUUGGAAAUGCCAGACUGUGGGUUCCGAGGAUGGCCUGUUCAAGUGAACACUGAUAUAUGCUGCCCUGAGUGGGAAUGUCCCUGUCGGUGCUCCAUGUUGUCAGAGCUGAGCAUUAUUACGUUUG
rnacentral:lncRNA from 1 species